AGAUUUGAUCCUGGCUCAGGAUGAACGCUAGCUACAGGCUUAACACAUGCAAGUCGAGGGGCAGCAUGGGAUUAGCUUGCUAAUCCCGAUGGCGACCGGCGCACGGGUGAGUAACGCGUAUCCAACCUUCCCCUUACUCUGGGAUAGCCCGGUGAAAACCGGAUUAACACCGGAUGGUUUCAUUAGAUGGCAUCUGACGAUGAAUAAAGGCUUACGGUAAGGGAUGGGGAUGCGUCUGAUUAGCUUGUUGGCGGGGUAACGGCCCACCAAGGCAACGAUCAGUAGGGGUUCUGAGAGGAAGGUCCCCCACAUUGGAACUGAGACACGGUCCAAACUCCUACGGGAGGCAGCAGUGAGGAAUAUUGGUCAAUGGGCGAGAGCCUGAACCAGCCAAGUAGCGUGCAGGACGACGGCCCUAUGGGUUGUAAACUGCUUUUGUGCGGGAAUAAAGUCAGGGACGUGUCCCUGUUUGCAUGUACCGCAAGAAUAAGGACCGGCUAAUUCCGUGCCAGCAGCCGCGGUAAUACGGAAGGUCCGGGCGUUAUCCGGAUUUAUUGGGUUUAAAGGGAGCGUAGGCCGUUCCUUAAGCGUGUUGUGAAAUGUAGGCGCCCAACGUCUGCACUGCAGCGCGAACUGGGGGACUUGAGUACGCGGGAAGCAGGCGGAAUUCGUCGUGUAGCGGUGAAAUGCUUAGAUAUGACGAAGAACUCCGAUUGCGAAGGCAUCUCACAAAUCCGCGAUUGACGCUGAGGCACGAAAGUGCGGGGAUCAAACAGGAUUAGAUACCCUGGUAGUCCGCACAGUAAACGAUGAUAACUCGCUGUCGGCGAUAGACAGUCGGUGGCCAAGCGAAAGCGAUAAGUUAUCCACCUGGGGAGUACGACCGCAAGGUUGAAACUCAAAGGAAUUGACGGGGGCCCGCACAAGCGGAGGAACAUGUGGUUUAAUUCGAUGAUACGCGAGGAACCUUACCCGGGCUCGAACGGCAGAGGAACAAUCCAGAGAUGGUGCGGCCCUUCGGGGCUUCUGUCGAGGUGCUGCAUGGUUGUCGUCAGCUCGUGCCGUGAGGUGUCGGCUUAAGUGCCAUAACGAGCGCAACCCUUGCCGUCAGUUGCCAGCGGGUAAUGCCGGGGACUCUGGCGGGACUGCCACCGCAAGGUGAGAGGAAGGGGGGGAUGACGUCAAAUCAGCACGGCCCUUACGUCCGGGGCGACACACGUGUUACAAUGGGUGGUACAGAGAGUAGGCGGCCGGCAACGUCCGUCCAAUCAUGAAAGCCAUCCUCAGUUCGGAUUGGGGUCUGCAACCCGACCCCAUGAAGCUGGAUUCGCUAGUAAUCGCGCAUCAGCCAUGGCGCGGUGAAUACGUUCCCGGGCCUUGUACACACCGCCCGUCAAGCCAUGAAAGCCUGGGGCGCCUGAAGUCCGUGACCGCGAGGGUCGGCCUAGGGUGAAACAGGUGAUUGGGGCUAAGUCGUAACAAGGUA
rnacentral:rRNA from 1 species